rnacentral:lncRNA from 1 species
CUGUGUCUCGACAGAGUGGCCAGUAAGUUUACAAACAAGAACAAAGUCAGAGGACUGACACUCCUUAACCUCAAACCUCCUAUGAAGAUGCAGUAAUAACACAGUGUGGUGUUGGCAAAAGAACAGUUGCUGAGCUGGCCCCAGCCUGGGGCCACAGCUGCCACCGCUGACCGGGAGAAGACGAGGCUGGGGACCACAUGGGGACGAGGAGCGGAGAAGCUAGGUGAGAGCAGGGGAGCCCGGAGGGUCUAUACCUGGGUUCCAGGGGACACCCCAGCUCCUAUCUCCAACUCUCUUCUCCCUGCCCCGUGGUUUUCUUUUUCUUGGUGUAGCUACUUU